UGGGGAAUAUUGGACAAUGGGCGCAAGCCUGAUCCAGCCAUGCCGCGUGAGUGAUGACGGCCUUAGGGUUGUAAAGCUCUUUCGCACGCGACGAUAAUGACGGUAGCGUGAGAAGAAGCCCCGGCUAACUUCGUGCCAGCAGCCGCGGUAAUACGAAGGGGGCUAGCGUUGUUCGGAUUAACUGGGCGUAAAGGGUGCGUAGGCGGGCUUUUAAGUCAGGGGUGAAAUCCCGAGGCUCAACCUCGGAACUGCCUUUGAUACUGGAAGUCUUGAGUCCGGGAGAGGUGAGUGGAACUGCGAGUGUAGAGGUGAAAUUCGUAGAUAUUCGCAAGAACACCAGUGGCGAAGGCGGCUCACUGGCCCGGAACUGACGCUGAGGCACGAAAGCGUGGGGAGCAAACAGGAUUAGAUACCCUGGUAGUCCACGCCUUAAACGAUGAAUGCUAGCCGUUGGUCAGCUUGCUGAUCCGUGGCGCCGUUAACACAUUAAGCAUUCCGCCUGGGGAGUACGGUCGCAAGAUUA
rnacentral:rRNA from 1 species